UACGUAGGGUGCGAGCGUUAAUCGGAAUUACUGGGCGUAAAGCGUGCGCAGGCGGUUUUGUAAGCCAGAUGUGAAAUCCCCGGGCUUAACCUGGGAAUGGCAUUUGGGACUGCAAGGCUCGAGUGCGGCAGAGGAGACUGGAAUUCCUGGUGUAGCAGUGAAAUGCGUAGAUAUCAGGAGGAGCACCGAUGGCGAAGGCAGGUCUCUGGGCUGACACUGACGCUCAUGCACGAAAGCGUGGGGAGCAAACAGG
rnacentral:rRNA from 1 species